rnacentral:lncRNA from 1 species
GAUCUAGAAGGAUUGUGGAGCAAUAUAAGUCGUCACCUGAUUAUGCCAUUGCUUUACAUUCAUAUGGGGAUAAGGUGAUGGUGGCGUCCAUCAAGUUGACUAAGGAGUGGACCGUCACGCGGCGUAGUCAUCCAGGUCUUUUGGCCACUUAUCACGAGGCGACAGCGGAGGAGCCUCUCCUACGAGUUAAAAUACCAUUUAAAAGUAGCGUUCUUGGUGGCUCCCCUUUUUUGUAUAGCCUUUCAUUUUACACAUCUUAUUUUUUCCUAUUUGUCCGGGAUGUGGACAGGAGCUCGCCACACAUUUUGAGUGUGGAUAUUUCUCAUUUUUUGUUAUUGAUUAUAUCAAUGUAGAAUGCAUUGUUCUUUUA